rnacentral:rRNA from 1 species
GACUCUCGGCAACGGAUAUCUCGGCUCUCGCAUCGAUGAAGAACGUAGCGAAAUGCGAUACUUGGUGUGAAUUGCAGAAUCCCGUGAACCAUCGAGUCUUUGAACGCAAGUUGCGCCCGAACCGUUAGGCCGAGGGCACGUCUGCCUGGGCGUCA